rnacentral:tRNA from 1 species
GCCAACUUAGCUCAGUGGUAGAGCAGCCGAUUUGUAAUCGGCCGGUCGUCGGUUCAAAUCCGACAGUUGGCU